GGGCGACCGUCUUGGCGGGAGGACGUGUUGGUCGUGGCUCCCGUAAAUUUUUGGCGCCUCGCGUCUGGGCUUCGACUGCUUCCUUCCGCCGUUGGGUCGCAAGUUGACUGCUUCUCCGCCUUGAAUGGCGCCACUUGAGAGUGACGUCAUUGACCUUCCUAUUUCGCCAGUGACGUGAUCGUCCUCCCUAUUUCGCCAGUGACGUGAUCGUCCUCCCUAUUUCGCCAGUGACGUCAUCGUCCUCCCUAUUUCGCCAGUGACGUGAUCGUCCUCCCUAUUUCGCCAGUGACGUGAUCGUCCUCCCUAUUUCGCCAGUGACGUCAUCGUCCUCCCUAUUUCGCCAGUGACGUCAUCGUCCUCCCUGUUACUUGCACUGUGACCAUAUAAUGUAAACACAGGUGGAGAAAUAUUGUAAAAUAUCUGAAAAAAACACCAAACGACAACUUAGUGCCGCUGAAAAAAACACCAAACGACAACUUAGUGCCACUGAAAAAAACACCAAACGACAACUUAGUGCCGCUGAAAAAAACACUAAACGACAAUUUAGUGCCGCUGAAAAAAAACAAAACGACAACUUAGUGCCACUGAAAAAACACCAAACGACAACUUAGUGCCGCUGAAAAAAACACCAAAUGACAACUUAGUGCCGCUGAAAAAAACACUAAACGACAACUUAGUGCCGCUGAAAAAAACACUAAACGACAAUUUAGUGCCGCUGAAAAAAACACAAAACGACAACUUAGUGCCACUGAAAAAACACUAAACGACAACUUAGUGCCGCUGAAAAAAAACGACAACUUAGUGCCACUGAAAAAACACAAAACGACAACUUAGUGCCGCUGAAAAAACACAAAACGACAACUUAGUGCCACUGAAAAAACACAAAACGACAACUUAGUGCCACUGAAAAAACACAAAACGACAACUUAGUGCCGCUGAAAAAACACAAAACGACAACUUAGUGCCGCUGAAAAAACACAAAACGACAAUUUAGUGCCGCUGAAAAAACACUAAACGACAACUUAGUGCCGCUGAAAAAAACACUAAACGACAAUUUAGUGCCGCUGAAAAAAACACCAAACGACAACUUAGUGCCACUGAAAAAACACAAAACGACAACUUAGUGCCGCUGAAAAAACACAAAACGACAACUUAGUGCCACUGAAAAAACACAAAACGACAACUUAGUGCCACUGAAAAAACACAAAACGACAACUUAGUGCCGCUGAAAAAACACCAAACGACAACUUAGUGCCGCUGAAAAAAACACCAAACGACAACUUAGUGCCGCUGAAGAAAACACCAAACGACAACUUAGUGCCGCUGAAAAAAAACACUAAACGACAACUUAGUGCCACUGAAAAAACACUAAACGACAACUUAGUGCCGCUGAAAAAAAAACGACAACUUAGUGCCGCUGAAAAAAAACACAAAACGACAACUUAGUGCCGCUGAAAAAACACAAAACGACAACUUAGUGCCGCUGAAAAAACACAAAACGACAACUUAGUGCCGCUGAAAAAAACUUAGCGCAGCUAAAAUAAAAAAAAAAAAAAGGACAGCGCAGCUAAAAAAAAAAAAAAAAGACAACUUAGCCCCGCUGAAAAAACGUAAAAUAAGCAUAAAACUUUUUUUUUCAACUUAGUGUCGUUGAAAAAAAUAAAACCUCACUAGAAUAACAAAAAUAAAAAUAAAGAUAAAAACAAAAAAUUGUCUGAAACAUAAACAGUUAAACUAUAAAUCAGAAGACUAUAUAAUAUACUUUUAUAUAAUAUACAUCAAGACAAACAAAACUCGAGAACAAGAACAGUGUGUUUGUUCUUCAUCACACAGUAAACACACUCAUUUGUUGAGGAUAUAAAUGUAAUUGCUGGAGAACGUAAGGCACAAAUGCAGCCGAUAGAGAGACAGAAGUGAAUAAGGGGAAUUAGUAAUAAGGGGAAAAUAAAGACUAUAACCACCGGAUUAUGUCACCUUUAAUGCAUCCAUCUGACCGAGGGGAGGAAGAAGAGGGGGUGCCGGAAGCGCCCCGACCUCCUCUUCCCCACCACGACAACCACACCUCUCCACUACCCGUGGAGGACUACGACAUCUACGAGUACGACCUGGACGAGUCGCUGAACACCUACUACUGGGACGAGUUGCUGCCGCCCCUCACCGUCUACGUUAUCACCCUCCUGCUGGGGAUCCUCGGCAACUCUCUCAUCAUCUACACUAUCUCCAGGUACAACGGGAUGAAGAGCACCACUAACGUCUUUCUCGCUUCCCUGGCCUCCGCCGACCUCCUCCUCAUACUGGUCUGCGUCCCCGUCAAG